rnacentral:rRNA from 1 species
CGGCUGCAGUGGGGAAUAUUGCGCAAUGGGGGAAACCCUGACGCAGCAAUACCGCGUGGAUGAUGAAGGCUCUUGGGUUGUAAAAUCCUGUCGGGUGGGAAGAAGUGCAGUAAUGUGAACAGCAUUAUUGUUUGACGGUACCACCAGAGGAAGCCCCGGCUAACUCCGUGCCAGCAGCCGCGGUAAUACGGAGGGGGCAAGCGUUGUUCGGAAUUACUGGGCGUAAAGGGCGCGUAGGCGGCGUGAUAAGUUAGGUGCGAAAGACCUUGGCUUAACCAGGGAAUUGUACCUAAAACUGUCAGGCUUGAGUAUAGGAGAGGAGAGUGGAAUUCCCAGUGUAGCGGUGAAAUGCGUAGAUAUUGGGAGGAACACCGGUGGCGAAGGCGGCUCUCUGGACUAAUACUGACGCUGAGGCGCGAAAGCCAGGGGAGCGAACGGGAUUAGAUACCCGGGUAGUC